rnacentral:rRNA from 1 species
GACGAACGCUGGCGGCGUGCUUAACACAUGCAAGUCGUACUAUGACCCGGCUCUUCGGAUCUGGUGAUUAGUGGCGAACUUUUGAGUAACACGUGGGUGACCUGCCCUGCACUCUGGGAUAAUCCCGGUAAACUUGUUCUAAUACUGGAUACGACCAGUGUCCGCAUGUUCUGCUGGUGGAAAGCCCUUCGGGGUGGUGUGGGAUGGGCCCGCGGCCUAUCAGCUUGUUGGUGGGGUGAUGGCCUACCAAGGGGACGACGCGUAGCCGGCCUGAGAGGGUGUCUGGCAACACUGGGAAUGAGACACGGCGCAGACUCCGACGGGAGGAAGCAGUGGGGAAUCUUGCACAAGGAGAGAAAGCCUGAUGCAGCGACGCCGCGUGAGGGAUGACGGCAUUCGGGUUGAAAACCUCUUUCGGCAGGGAACAAGCCUGGGGGUUUUCUUCUGGGUGAGGGUACAUGCGGAAGAAGCACCGGCUAACUACGUG